rnacentral:misc_RNA from 1 species
GUAGGUGAACCUGCGGAAGGAUCAUUACCGAGUGAGGGUCCUCUCGGGCCCGACCUCCCAACCCUAUGUUUACUGAACCUCUGUUGCUUCGGCGGACCCGCCUCACGGCCGCCGGAGGAUUUUAAGUAGUCCUCUGGCCCGCGUCCGCCGACGGCCAACCUUUAAAACUCUGUAUGAAUUGUGUCAUGAUGUCUGAGUACAAUGAUUAAAUUAAAAGCAAAACUUUCAACAACGGAUCUCUUGGUUCUG